rnacentral:rRNA from 1 species
ACUCAAAUGAAUUGACGGGGGCCCGCACAAGCGGUGGAGCAUGUGGUUUAAUUCGAUGCAACGCGAAGAACCUUACCUACCCUUGACAUCCUGAGAAUCUUGUAGAGAUAUGAGAGUGCCGAAAGGAACUCAGAGACAGGUGCUGCAUGGCUGUCGUCAGCUCGUGUUGUGAGAUGUUGGGUUAAGUCCCGUAACGAGCGCAACCCUUAUCCUUAGUUACCAACACGUUAUGGUGGGGACUCUAAGGAGACUGCUGGUGAUGAACCGGAGGAAGGCGGGGACGACGUCAAGUCAUCAUGGCCUUUAUGGGUAGGGCCACACACGUGCUACAAUGGUCGGUACAGAGGGCAGCCAACCCGCGAGGGGGAGCCAAUCUCACAAAGCCGAUCGUAGUCCGGAUUGGAGUCUGCAACUCGACUCCAUGAAGUUGGAAUCGCUAGUAAUCGCAAAUCAGAAUGUUGCGGUGAAUACGUUCCCGGGCCUUGCACACACCGCCCGU